AUUGAACGCUGGCGGCAGGCUUAACACAUGCAAGUCGAGCGGAGCGAGGGUGCUUGCACCUUAGCUUAGCGGCGGACGGGUGAGUAAUGCUUAGGAAUCUGCCUAUUAGUGGGGGACAACAUUCCGAAAGGGAUGCUAAUACCGCAUACGCCCUACGGGGGAAAGCAGGGGAUCUUCGGACCUUGCGCUAAUAGAUGAGCCUAAGUCGGAUUAGCUAGUUGGUGGGGUAAAGGCCUACCAAGGCGACGAUCUGUAGCGGGUCUGAGAGGAUGAUCCGCCACACUGGGACUGAGACACGGCCCAGACUCCUACGGGAGGCAGCAGUGGGGAAUAUUGGACAAUGGGGGGAACCCUGAUCCAGCCAUGCCGCGUGUGUGAAGAAGGCCUUUUGGUUGUAAAGCACUUUAAGCGAGGAGGAGGCGCUCUAGGAUAAUACCCUAGAUGCGUGGACGUUACUCGCAGAAUAAGCACCGGCUAACUCUGUGCCAGCCGCCGCCGUAACAC
rnacentral:rRNA from 1 species